rnacentral:rRNA from 1 species
UACAGAGGGGGCUAGCGUUGUUCGGAAUUACUGGGCGUAAAGGGCGCGUAGGCGGCCCGCUAAGUCGAACGUGAAAGCCCGGGGCCCAACCCCGGAACUGCAUCUGAAACUGCCUGGCUAGAGUCCCGGAGAGGAAGGCAGAAUUCCCGGUGUAGGGGUGAAAUCCGUAGAUAUCAGGAGGAACACCGGUGGCGAAGGCGGGUCUCUGGGCCGACACUGACGCUGAGGAGCGAAAGCGUGGGGAGCAAACAGG